UGGGGAAUUUUGGACAAUGGGCGAAAGCCUGAUCCAGCAAUGCCGCGUGUGUGAAGAAGGCCUUCGGGUUGUAAAGCACUUUUGUCCGGAAAGAAAUCCUUGGCUCUAAUACAGUCGGGGGAUGACGGUACCGGAAGAAUAAGCACCGGCUAACUACGUGCCAGCAGCCGCGGUAAUACGUAGGGUGCAAGCGUUAAUCGGAAUUACUGGGCGUAAAGCGUGCGCAGGCGGUUUGCUAAGACCGAUGUGAAAUCCCCGGGCUCAACCUGGGAACUGCAUUGGUGACUGGCAGGCUAGAGUAUGGCAGAGGGGGGUAGAAUUCCACGUGUAGCAGUGAAAUGCGUAGAGAUGUGGAGGAAUACCGAUGGCGAAGGCAGCCCCCCUGGGGCCAAAUACUGACGCUCAUGCACGAAAGCGUGGGGAGCAAACAGGAUUAGAUACCCUGGUAGUCCACGCCCUAAACGAUGUCAACUAGUUGUUGGGGAUUCAUUUCCUUAGUAACGUACUAACGCGUGAAGUUGACCGCCUGGGGAGUACGGUCGCAAGAUUAAAACUUAAAUGAUUGACGGGG
rnacentral:rRNA from 1 species